rnacentral:rRNA from 1 species
AGCGAACGCUGGCGGCAGGCCUAACACAUGCAAGUCGAACGGACCCUUCGGGGUUAGUGGCGGACGGGUGAGUAACACGUGGGAACGUGCCUUUAGGUUCGGAAUAGCUCCUGGAAACGGGUGGUAAUGCCGAAUGUGCCCUUCGGGGGAAAGAUUUAUCGCCUUUAGAGCGGCCCGCGUCUGAUUAGCUAGUUGGUGAGGUAAAGGCUCACCAAGGCGACGAUCAGUAGCUGGUCUGAGAGGAUGACCAGCCACGUUGGGACUGAGACACGGCCCAAACUCCUACGGGAGGCAGCAGUGGGGAAUCUUGCGCAAUGAGCGAAAGCCUGACGCAGCCAUGCCGCGUGAAUGAUGAAGGUCUUAGGAUUGUAAAAUUCUUUCACCGGGGACGAUAAUGACGGUACCCGGAGAAGAAGCCCCGGCUAACUUCGUGCCAGCCGCCGCAGUAAUAC